rnacentral:lncRNA from 1 species
CCCAAGAUGCAACCUGGCUUUCUGAGGAGCAUCAUGAACAUGUGACAUUGGAUCUUGAAGCAUGACCAGGCCUCUCGUUCAGCCAGCUCCUGUCCACAUUGUGUUCAGUCCUCAGCUGUGAUUUAACCAAGCCUUGGGAGUCAGGAAAGUCAACCAAGAUGCAAAACAAGGGCCACCAGCCAGGACCAAGUGCUCGAGCCUGUGGGGGAUAUUUCACAGUCAACCCACAGCACAGACUUGUGAAAGAACUCAGGGCUGAGGCGCUGACUCCAAUCAUAACGUGCUUUUGGCUUCGAAAGAGACUGCCUUUGUCUUUAAGAAGCAGGAGGCAUGUCAGAUGGUCUGCCCUUCCAGACAGAAGAGUAAAACCCAAAGGCAAACAAAGAAUUAGUCCAAAACAACAUGACUUGCAAUUCAGUGUGACUGUCCGGUUUUGUGUGAAGAGGUGCCUGGUUCCUGCUGUGGCUGGCCUGUGCACCUGGUGUGCAUAGACAGGAUGUCUCAGACAUGUAAUCAUAACUCAGAGGCCAGGAAGCCUCAGCUGUCCAUCAGCCCAGUCUUUACGCCACGUGGUUGUCUAUGGUCAGCAAAAGAGCCUAGAAAAAGAAAACACUGAUUCUCCUUACAUUUUAUAUAGUAACAAUAUCAAUUAAAG